AUGGGGGGUUCAGUUUCAAGACCAUUACCUGGAGAAACUCCAGUAGAGUUUAUGUUCAGAAACAAUCAAGGGUUUUAUACGGAACCUUUUGUGAGUGAUAUGGCAGGCUGGUCAGAGCGAAUGAGACCGCAAAUUGAAGUGCCAUAUCCAAGAGAGGGUUCAUUCACAGAUGAUGGCAUGGAAUUGGCUAAAAGUUUAGUUUUUGAAGGGUGGGGAGAUCCCAAUUGGGACUAUAAGUAUAUGACUAAGAGUUAUAAUAUUUGGAAGGAUCUUAAAAAAGUCUGGGAUCAAGGGCCAGAAAAGAAAAAGGUAGUUGCUUUUGUGGCUAAACAAAGCAGACUUGCAAAAGAUACACCACCACCCUACUCCAUGUCUCAUUCUCCCUCAGCGCCACCGCCACCACAAAAUAGUCCUGUUGUUACAAAAUUGGUCACACCCAAAGAAAAACAGGAACCUACUAAAACUCAGGGUGCUAUGGUAUGGCUGAGAUCAGGAAAUGCAAUAGGGGUGAAACCAGUGAAAAUGACAGAUAUGGAAGCAAUAUGUAAAAGUUUGCCUUCGCCUCAGAACCCUAGUAAAUUUGUGACUAUUCUGCAAUCACAUACAAAAUAUGCUCAUUUUACAGGUGCAGAUUACAGAGCGGUUCUGGCAAGAACCUUAGAAGGAGAUGUCACUGAAGAAAUGCUGAUCACUGCGUGUAAAUCACUGAAAUUUGAAAAUGAUGAGAUAUCUGGCGCUGCUACGGCCGCAUCGCCUCAUGUAUUUUUCCGGGAAAAGCAGGAAAAUCAUGUUGCAUUCUUUAAAGAGCUGAGAGUUUUCUUAGACAUGCGUUUAGGAAAUAGGCAAGAUUUGUCAUUUGCUGCAAAUACAAAGCAGAAACCAAAAGAAACUGCUUCAGAUUUCUAUCUGAGAUUCAAAAAAGCAUGGAUUGAGGAGUCUAAACUCCCAAUUAAUGAUGACCUAAAGGCAUUAUUCAUUAAUACUUUCCUGAAUAAUAUGCAUGGAAAGCAAGCACAACUGAUUAGAAUCACAACCACAAAUUUGCUUGAGAUGACCAUAGAAGCAUUAGGAAAGAGAGUUAGGGAACUAGACAUUUCUGGAGGGUUUGUGGUUAAAACUGAAACAGCCAUGUUCACUGGGCAAAGGCCACAGAGAGUUGAGCUUGACCUAAAAGCAGAAAUGAAACCUAGAUCAAUCCAACCAAGAAGGUCUAGAAUGGUUUGUUAUCGCUGCGGGAAGGAAGGUCAUGUCCAACGAGACUGCAAAAAAGGGAGAAGUCAGCCUCAGAGAAACCCAGUGCAGUGGAAGUCUAGAAUAGAACAGCCACAGCAGAGAGGCACAGGCACAGUAAACUCCACUUACCCCACUACAUGGCAAAAUCAUGCACAGCAUGAAGAACAAUAG
rnacentral:lncRNA from 1 species